CCGAUCAGAGACUAAGACACCUGCUACUCAUCUGCUACUGCUCACCUGCUCUCCAUCCAGCAAUCAACACCUGGCAGUAUAUCUAGCCGGCUCCUCUCACCAGUCUUUGCCAGAUUGUUUGUUUAUGCAAGUGGUAUUACGCCUCAGCCUCUGACUUACCACACUCAAAAAAAUUACCUUCAUGUUAUCUGAAACCCUGACUACCUCUCUGAUUCCCUGUGUUCAGGUUCGUUCCUCUCACCUGCCUCCAAGUUACUUGCCGGCUUUCCAGGAAGACCUCACCUCAGAUCUCCACAUCUCGACCUCAGCCCACUGUCCUCGCUCCGCCUGCCUGUUGUCACCAGUCUCUUGCCAGCCUGCUGUUUUCACUCAGUCCACCAGCUCACAACGAUUACCUCCACACUCCUGGUUACUCAUUGUAUUUUACAAUAAACUGAAACUAACUACUUCAACUCCCUCUGUGCUAGUCGUGCUUUUGGAUCCAGUCAUGGUGAACCAUACCAGCAACUAGGAAUAUGUGUAAUGCCACACCAGCAGAGGGAGCCCUCGCCUGAAUUCUGACUGUGUGCCACUCCCUCUGCUCACUCUACAGUCACUUCCUGUUUGGUAGCCAUUUUAAGCAUGCCAUGACCAAACAGGCCUUGCGAAGUAUUGCCAGUUCUACUGCCUUACCGAGCGUUUUGUAUCUACUAUCUGUUCACCUUGUGUAUGACCAUUUGCCUGCUUUCUCUGAUUUACUGAUUAUUGGAUUUCCAUUUUUGACUUGGCUGCCUGUUUGGAUUGCUUUUGUGUUUGACCAUCUUGCCUUGCCAUCUCACCUGCCUUUGGAUUACCCCUUUACCUGUUUGCCUUUGGACUGUUUUUGUGGUUUUGACCUUUUGCCUGGCUUUACGCUCCUUUUGGACUGUUCUUAAUAAACUUCAGCACACGGAUUCCAACACAGCUUCCAUUACAGAAUACUUCACCAACGAUGAAUCCAGCAGAAGUUUCUGAGCUUCAAGUGGCAUUUGCUUAUCAAAGUGAAAUGCUUAAAGGAUACCAGGAACAGCUCGACAAGCUCCAGUCUGCCAACGAAUAUCUGACCCACUACAUUCAAUCGCUACCUACGCUGCAAACGACCCGAAUGAUCCAGACCAGCUUGCUGGCAGCCAAUUUAUCUUGGAGAAGAUGAGAAUGUGACGGAGGUUCCUGUUGAAACGAUUCCAGAGGACAUCCUGAAGUGUGAUGAGAUCCACUGUGGGAAAAGUACACAUUUCUUUUUCAAAGCUUCUUACCUUUGCCAGAGUCUGCCUGUCCAUCCGUCAAAGAGCAACCCUGCCUCCUAAAAGUGACAUUUUAAUUCACCUAAUUUGCACGUGAAGAUGUUUUAUUGGAAAUGUAAUGAUGAAUAGGAUAAAUGCUGAAUUCUGUUUCUUAAUCAACAUGAGAUGUGAUAAUGUGAUAUGAUGUGUAUAUUGAACAUAUCUUCAAUGUUUAGUGUCAACAUCUUUCAUUGUAAUUAAAAACAUGAACAACAAUCUGCUUCUAGCAACUAAAGCAUGAUUAUGGUUUUAUGGUUAUCUUUAGGCAACACAAAGCACAUAGUUAUGGUUAGGGAAACAUAACGGCCAGAAAUCGGCAUAUGUCUUAUAUAAACUCAAAAAAUCCUAAUAAACAAAGGUGAUGUAUCUCAAACAUUCAGGACCACUGCUACUAUAUGUACUGUCAAGCAAUGAAUGACAAACACAGAGGAAAACAGUACAGCACAAAAGUAGACUUACUGUAGAAAAGUUUGCCCCACUAACAGUAUUGUUCAGAUUGAUUUAGCUUACAGUGAAUCAUUCUUGCAAUGCUUACACUGCCAUUAUUGGCAGUGUGUGUUUAGGUAAUUUACAGAAGUCAUUAGUCUCUGCACCAAGGCUACAGAGAGAGAGCUAAGCUUGCUUGUGUGGGUAGGAGGAAGGCAACUAGCUGGAAAGAGCUGCUGCUGGACUUGGAGUGGGAGGUUCAGCUCACUGGAAGCCGAAUGUAGCACUGCAGAUCUGCUGAUAAAUGAUGAUAAAAAUU